rnacentral:rRNA from 1 species
AUGCACGCUGGCGGCGUGCCUAAUACAUGCAAGUCGAGCGAACAGACGAGGAGCUUGCUCCUCUGACGUUAGCGGCGGACGGGUGAGUAACGCGUGGAUAACCUACCUAUAAGACUGGGAUAACUUCGGGAAACCGGAGCUAAUACCGGAUAAUAUAUUGAACCGCAUGGUUCAAUAGUGAAAGACGGUUUUGCUGUCACUUAUAGAUGGAUCCGCGCCGCAUUAGCUAGUUGGUAAGGUAACGGCUUACCAAGGCAACGAUGCGUAGCCGACCUGAGAGGGUGAUCGGCCACACUGGAACUGAGACACGGUCCAGACUCCUACGGGAGGCAGCAGUAGGGAAUCUUCCGCAAUGGGCGAAAGCCUGACGGAGCAACGCCGCGUGAGUGAUGAAGGUCUUCGGAUCGUAAAACUCUGUUAUUAGGGAAGAACAAAUGUGUAAGUAACUAUGCACGUCUUGACGGUACCUAAUCAGAAAGCCACGGCUAACUACGUG